CACAGUGGCUUGAUGUGUGAAAAGAGCUCUGACCCACUUUCAACGGACACACUGUAUAGUCGAACAUUGUCAAAAUGAUAUUACUGACACCCGCAGGGCUAAACAUAAAAUAUCCCUGCUGGAGUUCUAAGUUCUAGCAGUAGAGGGAUCCUGCACCAGUAAAAAGGGUAAACAACCUAGAGCGAAAACUUCAAAUUAAUCGAAGUGAUUCUUUGAUAGUUUCAGCUCCAUCGAAGGAUCAAAAUUCUUUAAAAAGCAGAUCCUUCAAGGAUCUGAUCUCUUUUUAUCCUGAAAAUUCAAAAGUGAAGGUCUAUUGUUAGAGUCCAAUUCAAUUGUUAGUCGACAAAAAAGUGCGCAGUGAAUAAUUAAAAGUUAUAAGUACGGUUAAUCGCUUAAAUAGUGAGAACAUUCAAUUCACAAAAGUACGCAAACGAAAAAAAACAGGAAAAAAGGUCCACGAAGGGCCUUUUUUUCUUUCUUUCGGACAGCUGAACCAGCGAAACGUUUGAGGAACACCUGACCAUACUUCAAGAAGUGGCAUCCCGACUUAGAGCUGCCAAUUUGUCUAUCAAUUUGAAUAAAUCACAUUUCUGUGUAUCGGAAGUCAAAUAUCUUGGAUAUAUAUUAGGGCAGCAUGGUCUGAGACCCAACCCUGACCGUGUUGCAGCUAUAGUUAACUACGAGCGACCAACCACAUUGAAAGCUUUAAGAAGGUUCUUAGGAAUGUGUAAUUACUAUAGGAGGUUUUUGGCCAACUAUACACCCUUAUUCUUGUUUACGUACGAACGCGCUUUCGAACGAAAGCUGAUGCGCAUUCUCGUUUACGCCAGCAAAAUCAAAUGGGGAAACGAUUCGAACGAACUGCAUUCGUUCGAAAGUUUCGUUCGUCCGUAAACAAGAAUAGGGGUGAUAG